UGACCGUUAGAAUGUGUUUUAAGUGACAAAACAAUCUCAUUCUCUUUUCUUUUUAGCUUUUCACCUUGGGAAGGAGGUCUCUUUACUUUUUAUUUGAAAAGGAAUUGUUUUUGUUAUUUUCCUAAACCUGGAGAGUGACGGAAGCCAUCCUUGAGGAGUCAAGAUAAACUCUAGAUGUAAGCUGAAUGGUCACCAGGUCACGGAAUUCCACCGGGAAUGGGAAGAUCCUCUGGAGUAGCACGCAAAGUCCUGCUAUCUGCAUUCUGUGGUUGGAGUGAGUUGGGUCAGCCCACCAAUGUAUUUCCUCAUUAGACAUUGACAAACAUGGAAGAAAAACAGUGGAAGAAUUAGAAGAGAAUAUGGAAGCAGAAUGUGAUCUGGAGUCAUGUUUAGUGACCACAGCAGGGCUGAAGAACAAGGACGGUGUCAAGAUGGGCAUUUUUUCUGUGCAUAGCGAAUUGGGAGGCAAAGAAAACUGCUGAAAAAAAUUGGUAAGAGUUUGGGAUCUUAAAGAUAUAGUAAGUUUGUGGUAGCCUCUGUGGAUGUAGGGUGAAGGAAAGGUGGGGAGGGGGGAGAGAGAGAGAGAGAGAGAGAGA
rnacentral:lncRNA from 1 species